UUAACGGGAGAGUUUGAUCCUGGCUCAGGACGAACGCUGGCGGCGUGCCUAACACAUGCAAGUUGAGCGGGGUUAACUAUUGUUCAGCUUAUGUUGAGCGUUAGUUAACCUAGCGGCGGACGGGUGAGUAACACGUGGGCAACCUACCCAAGAGACCGGGAUAACAGUCUGAAAGGGCUGCUAAUACCGGAUAAUCCUCUAUACUGAUUUCAGUUUAGAGGCAAACGCGGAUAGUGCUUUUGGAUGGGCCCGCGUCCCAUUAGCUAGUUGGUGAGGUAACGGCUCACCAAGGCGACGAUGGGUAGC
rnacentral:rRNA from 1 species